UGGGGAAUAUUGCACAAUGGGCGAAAGCCUGAUGCAGCGACGCCGCGUGAGGGAUGACGGCCUUCGGGUUGUAAACCUCUUUCAGCAGGGAAGAAGCGAAAGUGACGGUACCUGCAGAAGAAGCGCCGGCUAACUACGCGCCAGCAGCCGCGGUAAUACGUAGGGCGCAAGCGUUGUCCGGAAUUAUUGGGCGUAAAGAGCUCGUAGGCGGUUAGUCGCGUCUGCUGUGAAAACUCGAGGCUCAACCUCGGGCUUGCAGUGGGUACGGGCUGACUAGAGUGCGGUAGGGGUGACUGGAAUUCCUGGUGUAGCGGUGGAAUGCGCAGAUAUCAGGAGGAACACCGAUGGCGAAGGCAGGUCACUGGGCCGCAACUGACGC
rnacentral:rRNA from 1 species